AAAGUAAGCUGAUCUAUCGCCGCAUCUUAUAGAUGAGGAGGAAAGUCCGGGCAAUACAGAGCAUCUCGCUUCCUAACGGGAAGGUCCCGAUUCGUCGGGAACGGAAAGUGCCACAGAAAAUAAACCGCCCCGAUUAUCGGAGUAAGGGUGAAAACGUGAGGUAAGAGCUCACGGCCUUGUAUGGCGACAUACAUUGCGGUAAACCCCGGGAAUUGAAAGGCCAAAUAGGUUCUGAAAUGGGGUUGCUCGCUCCCUUCGCUUUUAGCGGAUUCAGAAUGGGUAGGUCGUUUGAUCCUAUGAGUGAUUGUAGGGCUAGAUAAAUGAUAGAUAUCCGCCUGCUGGCGGAAACAGAACCCGGCUUAUAGGCUUACUUUUUAU
rnacentral:RNase_P_RNA from 1 species